GACGAACGCUGGCGGCGUGCUUAACACAUGCAAGUCGAGCGGUAAGGCCCUUUCGGGGGUACACGAGCGGCGAACGGGUGAGUAACACGUGGGUGACCUGCCCUCAGCUCUGGGAUAAGCCUGGGAAACUGGAUCUAAUACUGGAUAUGACUCCACGGUGCAUGUCGUGGGGUGGAAAGCCUUGUGCGGCUGAGGAUGGGCCCGCGGCCUAUCAGCUUGUUGGUGGGGGGAU
rnacentral:rRNA from 1 species